CCUACGGAGAGCUGCAGUGGGGAAUAUUGCGCAAUGGGCGAAAGCCUGACGCAGCGACGCCGCGUGAGGGAUGAAGGUCUUCGGAUCGUAAACCUCUGUCAGCAGGGAAGAACGGUCACUGUGCUACUCAGCAGUGAAUUGCCGGUACCUGCAAAGGAAGCACCGGCUAACUCCGUGCAAGCAGCCGCGGUAAUACGGAGGGUGCGAGCGUUAAUCGGAAUUACUGGGCGUAAAGCGCUCGUAGGCGGUAUGUCAAGUCAAGGGUGAAAUCCCCGCGCUCAACGUGGGACCUGCCUUUGAAACUUGCAAGCUGGAGUGUGUGAGAGGAUAGGGGAAUUCCAUGUGUAGGAGUGAAAUCCGGAGAUAUCUGGAGGAACAUCAGUGGCGAAGGCGACUAACUGGCACAUAACUGACGCUGAGGAGCGAAAGCGUGGGUAGCAAACAGGAUUAGAUACCCCUGGUAGUC
rnacentral:rRNA from 1 species